UCGAACAAUAUAUAUGUUUAAAAUAAUAAAAAGUUCAGAGAUAUUAAGAUAAUAAAGUCAUUUUUAUUUACAAGCUUCCAAAUUACAAAAACUCCAUUUUCUUAGCUUUAAAGUUCGAGCUGCCAAACCAUGAUUUCAACCUAAAGGUCGAAACUUUUCGCUGGUUUAGCAUUGUGAAACAUAGCAAUCCUAUGCAAACAUCAAUGCUAAACUGGGGCCGAAAAAUAUAACCGGAAAAAUGCAAUCAAAUCUCUUAUAUCAAUGUUCCUGCUCCAGCAAAGCAAUCCCAAAAUUAUAGAAAUUUAUAUGCAAUAAAAGAUCAUCAACAUCAUCAAUCCAAUAAGCAUUAACAAACAUAUCUCCCUUUUUUCUUCUUUCCUCAAUUCGAAAUCGAAAACCCAUCUAUUAAAUCAGCAGUCGAUUACAUAAGCAAAAAUAGAUCGAUACUAAGGAAAUCAAAACAUCAUCGAAAGAAGCCGAUCGAUCCAUAGCCAAAUUUACCCACAUUUCAACAACAAGGCAUCAAAUCAUCCAUCUAAAACAAAACGCACACAUAUGAACCUCUAAAAAUCCCGAAUACAAUUUACCUGGGCAGGGAUCAGUGAUGACCAUGUUCCUUGGUGUGUUGCUGGUGCUCGAGAUGGCGACGCUCAUUUGGGAGAGCGACAAAACAAUUGCUCAACCAAUUGCUCAACCAAUUGCUCAACCAAAAUUAGCAGCAGCACAAUGAAAGCAGUGUAAUAGGGUAAUCAUUCAAGAUUCAUACCUCAAAAGAAUCAAAAACCAAACGCCGACGAAAGAAAAAAUGAAGCAGUGGAUUUCAAACGUGCUGCAACAAAUGAAAGGGAAAAAAUAAAAAAAGAGACCGAGAGAGAAUCAGUAAAGAAAUGGGAGGAGAAAUGAUGAGGACAGAAAAAGGAGAGGGUGGAGGUCGAUUUCGAGUAGGGAGGGAGGGUGAAACAGAGACUUAGGAAGGGAAGUCGGACAUAAUGGGUAAUCUUCGAUUUGGGAAGGGAAUAGAAAAGCAGUGAAUUUGGGGAUUAGGUCGGUAUUGUAAUAGGCGCGUAAUACCAAUUACAGCGAACCAAACGCCGGAAUAGGUGGGUAAUGUAAUAGGCGCGUAAUCGGGGCAUAAUGGAUUACCUAUUACACUGAAACAAACACGCUGUUAGGGUUUUGUAGACAAUCUCUAUUCUUAUUGAAAGACCACAACAGCUCAAUUAAAUCAUCAAUGAUAAUCCAAGGCAAGUCAAAAUUCAGAUCUAGUAAAUCCAGUAGUGCCCAUGAUUCAUGAAGUCGAUGCUCAUUCAGUUGGCCAAAGAGUCCUAUAAGUUAUCUAGUAAAGGAAACGACCACCACUUGACCUUUGUUAACAAACAUCAAUACCAUGAAGAAAACCACUCCUAUAAAGAAGAGCUUCCGUACUUUCGACAUUUAGUUUUCUUUUUGCGAGAAAAACUACAUGAGGAGCUUAAGCUUUCAACAAAUCUCGAAAUUGUCUAAUUGCAUGUGGGUUUCCAAGCCCAUGAUAGUUCAAACUAGUACAAUUCAUGGCUCCAAGUGGCACUGGUCAAC
rnacentral:lncRNA from 1 species